AUGUGUGUGGCCCAGAAAUCAAAGGCGGAGGACAUCACCACCAUGGCCUGGGCUCUGCUCUUUCUCACCCUCCUCUCUCAGUGCACAGGUGA
rnacentral:pre_miRNA from 1 species